UCGGAACACAGGUGCUGCAUGGCUGUCGUCAGCUCGUGUCGUGAGAUGUUGGGUUAGGUCCGCAACGAGCGCAACCCUUAUCAUUAGUUGCUACGCAAGGGCACUCUAAUGAGACUGCCGGUGACAAACCGGAGGAAGGUGGGGAUGACGUCAAGUCCUCAUGGCCCUUAUGGGUAGGGCUUCACACGUCAUACAAUGGUCGGUACAGAGGGUUGCCAAGCCGCGAGGCGGAGCCAAUCCCACAAAGCCGAUCGUAGUCCGGAUUGUUCUCUGCAACUCGAGAGCAUGAAGUCGGAAUCGCUAGUAAUCGCAGGUCAGCAUACUGCGGUGAAUACGUUCCCGGGUCUU
rnacentral:rRNA from 1 species